rnacentral:rRNA from 1 species
AUGGCGGAGUUUGCGCUUGGGUUGACCAAGACGGCGGUAGCGGGGACGGUGAGCAAGGUGAAGUCGGCGAUCGAGGAGGAGGAAAAACUAAGGGCGGAUGUGGAGGAGGACCUGAAGUUCAUCACCGGGGAAUUCGAGAUGAUGCAGUCCUUUCUGAACUCUGCCCACACGGGGGAGCAUGCAUCCAAGAACCAGGUGGCGCGGACGUGGGUGAGGCAGCUCCGCGACCUGGCCUUCGAGGCUGAGGACUGCGUCGAGUUUGUGGUCCACCUCGACAAGGCAUCACGCUGGGACUGGGUGCAGCGCCUAAUCUCACCCCUGAUGUGCAGGGCAAGGCCACCGCUUCCCCUGGAUGAAGCGGUCGCGGAGAUAAAGCGGCUCAAGACAAGGGUAGAGUACGUAAGCCAGAGGUACACCCGCUACAACUUCGUGGGUACCAAUGGUGGCGGCGACGGCGACUCCUUGGGUCAGCAGCAUCAACUGCUUAUGCACCCCACGGCUCAUAGUACGGCGGCAACAGCGGCGGCCUUCCAUGACUUAAGGGAGGUGUGGAAAUCCAUGGGAAAGAUUGGUGAGCACAUCACGGAUGAUCUAAAAAGGUUGAUUGAUUGCCAAGGCAGCGAGCUCCAAGUGAUCUCUCUUUGGGGAAGUCCACAAGCUGAUGUUGUUGGGGAACAUGGGUGCAUGAGUAUUAUGAAGAAGGCGUAUGAUGACCCAGAGAUCUGCCAAGAAUUCAAGAAUCGUGCCUGGGUAAAGUUGAGUGUGCAUCAUCCUUUCAACCCGGUAGAGUUUCUGCACAACUUGCUGACUCAGUUUACUGCAUCUCACCAUCACCACCACCAUGAGGAUAUGUCCGAGCUCAUGCUGCAACUCAGCAAGCACAGGUAUCUCAUAUUCCUAGAGGAAGAGUUAUCCAGUGUCGCAGACUGGGAUGCCAUCAGAAAGUGCCUUCCGGAUGGCAAAAGGGGGAGCCGGAUUGUUGUCUCCACCAAGCACUUGAAAAUUGCACUUGUCUGCACGGGGGACCCCUACCAAGUUUCCCAGCUUAUACACUUGUCUCAUGACCGAGGUCUUUAUGCUUUUUUCCCAAAGGGCUGUGGGCAUCGCCAUGGCAUGGGCGAAUUCAUUUGGCAAUUAAGACGCCAGGGUGGAGUUAUUGCAUUGUUAGAACAGGAUUUGGAUUUGGGUGACAGAAGCAAGUUCAUGAGUCAACUGACCAACGACACCCUGAAUAAGUUGAGCGUACUCAAUGGAGUGAAAUUUGAAUACAGCUACCGGAAUAUCCGUACACAUGGAUUCGCUGGCCAGCAAAAUAUGAUGGUUGUUACCAUGGCCACAGAUAUACUUGUGCAGUCUUAUCCAAAAGAUGACCAAAACAAUGCAUUUGAACAGCUAAUGGGGAUGAAACAUGAGGAUGUAACAGAAAAGUGUCGCAAGUUUCUGACUGAAAAUGAUUACCUCCUCUUUAUUGAUGAGAUGGAGUCCCACGAAGAAUGGGACUUGAUAAACCGACAACUCUUAUAUCAUAAAGAAUAUCUGCUGCUCAACCUUAGAGAUCUGAUGAUCAAGGGUUGUGACCAUUGUGGAUAUUCAGAUGGAGGAGACAACAUAAAGAAAGAGGGUGAAUCUGAACUUGAUUUUGUUGGGCGUAGCGACGAGAAGGACUUUUUUUACGGCCGCACUCCUGAUGUGAAGUUGCUGUCUGUGUGGGGGAUUGCUGUAUUCCCUGUGGACCAAAGCAUUAGACGGAGGCGUUUGCUCAGGCGGUGGAUUGCAGAGGGAUACUCCUCCGGUGGUGGUGGUACUGCAGAGGAGAAGGGAGAAAAGCUCUUCUCCGAACUCAUGAAGUUGAGCAUAUUAUACCCGGAUCAGCGGACAUCAUCAACGGCAAGAAGCUGGAUGGUCAAUGGUUUCUUCUGUGAAUACAUCAAGUCAAGGCCAAUGGAAGAUAAUCUUGUGUUUGCACUAGAGGGGAGUUGCAGCCCCAGCUCACGACUCACUGGACAACACCUCACCAUAAGCAGCUGUUGGGACAGGGAUGAGAUUGUCUUCAAGAGCAUGGACUUGUCACGACUACGGUCUUUGACAGUGUUUGGGAAGUGGGUGCCAUUCCUAGUCUCGGACAAGAUGAAGGUGCUUCGAGUGCUUGAUCUGGAGGGCACAAGUAGUACUUCAGAUGGUACUGCAAGUGUAACUGAUGAUGUUCUGGAGAAGAUCGUGAAGCAGUUUCCUCGCCUCAAGUUCAUGUCCCUGCGUGGAUGCAUGGAAGUCACUCGUCUCCCCGAUUCAUUGGGUGACAUGGGUCAGCUGGAGACUUUGGAUGCCAGGCACACCUCCAUAGUGGAGCUGCCACCUGCUGUCAUCACCAAGCUACACAAGCUGCAGUACAUUCGUGCUGGCACCACCGAAGCAAGACGACUACAGGUAGCGGCGGCAGCAGCAGCAACAACGCCUCCACCAACAACACAAGAAGACGUUCAUAGUGGCACAAGCCCCUUCCAACGGGCAUCAACUAGAAUUAUUGGAGCAUGGAACAGGACGGCACAUGCUUUGGUGGAAUCCAGCAGCAGCUGCAGCUGGUGGGAGUCCAAGAAGCAGCGCAGGCGCCGGGUUCGUGUUGCUGCAAAUGGCGACGGUAUUGAGGUUGUUUGUGCUGCCGCAGAGGGGAUUGGGAAGCUGACAGAGUUGCAUACACUCGGUGUUGUGAAUAUUGCAGGCGGGAAAGGUGGCCGCCUCCUCCUCAAGGAGCUCGGGAAUCUCACCCAGCUGCGCAAGCUCGGGUUAUCAGGCAUCAGCAGUAAAAACUGGAAGGAGUUGUGCAAUGCCAUCUCGGGUCACCUCCCUCAUCUCGAGUCCUUGUCACUGCAACUGCUGCUGGUGGAGGAGGACGAAAGCUAUAAGUUUGCUUGUUUCUUUGACAUCUCCAUGCCACCCAAGACCCUGAAGAGCCUUAAGGUGUUGUACACUACUGCUGUAUGUGCAGGCGCAUUUGGUGCAUGCAUCAAGCCAGCCUGGAUCAGUCAGCUUCCCAAUCUCAAAAAGUUGAACCAUGAGUCUACAGUGUCAAAUCAAGAGGAUAUAGAUUUGAUGUUGAGCAAUGGAUUUCCAGCUGGACUGCUAGAAAAGCGUCUUCGUAUCAAGCCGAUUCAACAGCGUCUCAGUUUCGCAAAGCAGACGCCUGGGGUAGUAUUCCUCGCCGAACUCAUGAUUGACUGCGGCAGCAGGAGAUCAAUGGUGACUUUUGGAGAAUCGCCCAACUUUUCUGUUCAAGUGGUCAGCAUCCACUGCUGCAACUCUUGUGAUGGAUGGUCGUGUUUGCAGAUUGUUGGGCUGCAGAAUAUAGGUGCGCUCAAACAAGUCUUGGUAACAGGCCCAUGCAGCGAAGAAUUCAAGGAAGACUUGCGCAGGCAACUUGUGGAGCGUGAAGACAAGCCUGAGCUGAAGCUGUUGCCUCAUAAUGGUGAUCAAUAG